AGGCCAGUAGCUCUAAUGGUAGAGCAUCGGACUCCAAAUCCGAGGGCUGGGGGUUCGAAUCCCUCCUGGCCUGCCA
rnacentral:tRNA from 1 species